rnacentral:lncRNA from 1 species
UUUUCAUUGAGUCAUAUAUUUUAUGCCAGUGGACCAGGAUAUGCUAUUACUGACUUUUACUGAGGGGUCAAAAACUUUGUUCAAACUCUAUGGAAGUGAGUAGUUGUGAACUCCAUAUUUGCCUGGCUUUAAAAGCCUUUCAUUUUUAAAUAUCCUAAAAUUCCAGCAGAUGGUGAUACUACUACAUGAAAGAGGGCUCUUUGCUCUAGUUCUGGAAUCUGCAUUAUUGGUAGCAUGUGAUGAGCUGAAGAAUGUCCGGAGGAAGGUGACAAGGGUAUGGGAUACUUCCAACCACCCUUCUACAAAAAUGAGGGCACUAAGAGAUAUUAAGCAAUCUGUCCAUGAUCACACAGCUAAGACUCCAAGGAAUGCUUCAUCCAGAUUUCUGCUUGUACAGACCAAAGCAACUACACCAUGGAUAGUCAGUAAGUCAAAAGUCCAUCAGUUAGCUAACAUUUAUUAAGUACUUUAUUAAGUACUUUGUACUUAAUAAGUACUAAGUGGGCACAUAGGUGGCAUGUAGUGUGCCAGGUCUGGAGUCAGGAAGACUCAUGUUCCUGAGUUCAAAUCUGACUUCAAAUACUUAUAAGCUGUAGGACUCUGGCCAAGUCACUUAACCCUUUUGUCUCAGUUUCCUCAUCUGUAAAAUGAGCUGGAGAAGGAACUGGCAAACCACCCAGGAAUUUUUUGCCAAGAAAACUCUAAAGGAGGUCAUUAAGAGUUGGACAUGACUGAGAAAAAUGGAAAUUCAAAUUGAAAGACAUAGAUUCCCAAUGAAUCAUUGAAUCACAGAUUCCCAUAGCUAGAAGAAAUCCUAGAGGUCACUUAAUCCAACUCAAAUGAACAAAAAUAGUGGAAAUGACUUCAAUUUUUACCAAGAUUGCACAGC